rnacentral:rRNA from 16 species
AGGAGUAGCUUUUUUUAGGGCAACCUUUAAAAGCUGGCACAAAAUCGAGGACAGCAACUGUUUAGUAAAAACACAGGUCUCUGCAAAUUUGUAAAAAGACGUAUAGAGACUGACGCCUGCCCGGUGCUGCAAGAUUAAUGAGAAAAGUUUUGGCUUUGAUCUUAAACCCCAGUAAACGGCGGCUGUAACUCUGACGGUCCAAAGGUAGCGAAAUUCCUUGGCAUUUAAUUGGUGUCCUGCAUGAAUGGCGUAAUGACUGUCCUACUGUCUCCAAUGCAACCUCAGUGAAAUUGAAAUCUCCGUGAAGAUGCGGAGUACCUGCGGCUAGACGGAAAGACCCCGUGCACCUUUACUAUAGUUAUGUAUUGUAACAAAAACUAUUAUGUGUAGAAUAUGUGGGAAGUUUUUAUACAUCUUUACGCAAGUAAAUUAUUUAAAUAACAGUGAAAUACCACUCUUAAUACUUUUUGUUACUUAUUAAUUAAGACAAUGCAUAAUGGGUAGUUUGACUGGGGCGGUCGCCUCC